rnacentral:tRNA from 1 species
GUCGGGAUAGCUCAGCUGUAGAGCAGAU